GGCCAGGCGUGCGCAGCCCGGCGGCGUCGGGCUGGGCAGGUCAGCGGGGCGGAGGGCAGCAGGCCCGGCGCGGAGCGUGCAGAGCUGCCCGGCCUGAUUAUGUGCAGAGCGUGUUCCUUCACUCCCUCGGUCUCGUACGCUGCUGAGAGAGGUGUAAACGGAGCGAGGGGCUCGGUAGGGGCCGGGAGGCGUUCAUUCAGAGAGGGAAUUUGAAACGGUGCUCCACAGCCCUCAUUCCGUGGAAGAGAGGGAUGCCGCAGUUUGACAGCCGUGAGUCAGUGUGAAUCCAAGCUCUCCUCCUGUGUGGGCUGUUGGAAAGGAGGUCCCAGCCGCAGAUGCUUCGAGGCUGAGGCAGCAGCAGCGGCACUUUAGCUUCAAGACCGUGAGGGUGACACGGGGAUGUCUGCAACAGGCUGAGCAAUGCGGCUGCGGCAGGUUGUCCCUGUGCCUCGGUGAAAACAGGACGGAGAGGAAAAUAUGAAAGUGAGAAUUGCCUCUUGCCACCUGGAAAGAAAAAUGUAGCCUCUGCUACAAAGGCCAUACUAAGGUGUCAAAUAUAUGAUGACGGGCCACGCGUGGAAGGCAAAGAUAGAUGCAGGGCCCAUCUAAAGAGGAAGCUGAAGAGUGUUGCAUGGUACAAGUGUGUUGGUCAGUGCAAAGCUCCUCUGCUUCAAGAAAUGUUGCUUGUUCUCAAGGAUGAGACAGACACUUCGAAAGCUGGAUUCCUGUAGUAAUGCCUGAAGAGUCAAGAUAAAACCAAGGAGACACAUACACUAUUGGAUUCUUGUUGACUGCACAGGAACAUUACUUGGCUUUGUGAUUAAAUCAUUCUGGGGAUGGGGAUGCUGUCGCUGAAAAAGCACCUGUUAUAAACUACAUUUGACAGGUAAUAAAAUUGAUAUUAUCAGUUGAAGUCA
rnacentral:lncRNA from 1 species